UUAGGAAUUUAAGCGCCUGGCUCAUAUAGAGCGACGAGGAAAGAGGAGAAUCGAGACUUCGGCGGAUGCCUCUUCGGUUAUAUGGAAUCGUAAGAUAAGGACAAAUUGAACAAAUCCCUUAUCACCCAUAAUC
rnacentral:ncRNA from 2 species